rnacentral:sRNA from 1 species
GUUUUGCGUUAGUGACUGCAGAGGAAAUACUUUUGCUUUUACAAAAGAUUGAAACGAAAAGCACGGUGCUAC